UACGAAGGGGGCUAGCGUUGCUCGGAAUUACUGGGUGUGAAGCGCACGUAGGCGGAUUGUUAAGUCGGGGGUGAAAUCCUGGAGCUCAACUCCAGAACUGCCUUCGAUACUGGCGAUCUCGAGUUCGGGAGAGGUGAGUGGAACUGCGAGUGUAGAGGUGAAAUUCGUAGAUAUUCGCAAGAACACCAGUGGCGAAGGCGACUCACUGGCCCGUUACUGACGCUGAGGCUCGAAAGCGUGGGGAGCAAACAGG
rnacentral:rRNA from 1 species